CGGGUUGUCAUGCCAAUGGCACUGCCCGGUAGCUAAAUGCGGAAGAGAUAAGUGCUGAAAGCAUCUAAGCACGAAACUUGCCCCGAGAUGAGUUCUCCCUGAGACUUUAAGUCUCCUGAAGGAACGUUAAAGACGAUGACGUUGAUAGGCCGGGUGUGUAAGCGCAGCGAUGCGUUGAGCUAACCGGUACUAAUGAACCGUGAGGCUUAACCUU
rnacentral:rRNA from 1 species